rnacentral:rRNA from 1 species
UACGUAGGUGGCGAGCGUUGUCCGGAUUUAUUGGGUUUAAAGGGUGCGUAGGCGGCUUUGUAAGUCAGUGGUGAAAUACUCCAGCUUAACUGGAGGGGUGCCAUUGAUACUGCGGAGCUUGAGUACAGAUGAGGUAGGCGGAAUUGACGGUGUAGCGGUGAAAUGCAUAGAUAUCGUCAAGAACACCGAUAGCGAAGGCAGCUUACUGGGCUGUAACUGACGCU